AAAUUGAAGAGUUUGAUCAUGGCUCAGAUUGAACGCUGGCGGCAGGCCUAACACAUGCAAGUCGAGCGGUAGCACAGAGAGCUUGCUCUCGGGUGACGAGCGGCGGACGGGUGAGUAAUGUCUGGGAAGCUGCCUGAUGGAGGGGGAUAACUACUGGAAACGGUAGCUAAUACCGCAUAACGUCGCAAGACCAAAGUGGGGGACCUUCGGGCCUCAUGCCAUCAGAUGUGCCCAGAUGGGAUUAGCUAGUAGGUGGGGUAACGGCUCACCUAGGCGACGAUCCCUAGCUGGUCUGAGAGGAUGACCAGCCACACUGGAACUGAGACACGGUCCAGACUCCUACGGGAGGCAGCAGUGGGGAAUAUUGCACAAUGGGCGCAAGCCUGAUGCAGCCAUGCCGCGUGUGUGAAGAAGGCCUUCGGGUUGUAAAGCACUUUCAGCGGGGAGGAAGGCGUUAAGGUUAAUAACCUUGGCGAUUGACGUUACCCGCAGAAGAAGCACCGGCUAACUCCGUGCCAGCAGCCGCGGUAAUACGGAGGGUGCAAGCGUUAAUCGGAAUUACUGGGCGUAAAGCGCACGCAGGCGGUCUGUCAAGUCGGAUGUGAAAUCCCCGGGCUCAACCUGGGAACUGCAUUCGAAACUGGCAGGCUAGAGUCUUGUAGAGGGGGGUAGAAUUCCAGGUGUAGCGGUGAAAUGCGUAGAGAUCUGGAGGAAUACCGGUGGCGAAGGCGGCCCCCUGGACAAAGACUGACGCUCAGGUGCGAAAGCGUGGGGAGCAAACAGGAUUAGAUACCCUGGUAGUCCACGCCGUAAACGAUGUCGAUUUGGAGGUUGUGCCCUUGAGGCGUGGCUUCCGGAGCUAACGCGUUAAAUCGACCGCCUGGGGAGUACGGCCGCAAGGUUAAAACUCAAAUGAAUUGACGGGGGCCCGCACAAGCGGUGGAGCAUGUGGUUUAAUUCGAUGCAACGCGAAGAACCUUACCUGGUCUUGACAUCCACAGAACUUUCCAGAGAUGGAUUGGUGCCUUCGGGAACUGUGAGACAGGUGCUGCAUGGCUGUCGUCAGCUCGUGUUGUGAAAUGUUGGGUUAAGUCCCGCAACGAGCGCAACCCUUAUCCUUUGUUGCCAGCGGUUCGGCCGGGAACUCAAAGGAGACUGCCAGUGAUAAACUGGAGGAAGGUGGGGAUGACGUCAAGUCAUCAUGGCCCUUACGACCAGGGCUACACACGUGCUACAAUGGCAUAUACAAAGAGAAGCGACCUCGCGAGAGCAAGCGGACCUCAUAAAGUAUGUCGUAGUCCGGAUUGGAGUCUGCAACUCGACUCCAUGAAGUCGGAAUCGCUAGUAAUCGUAGAUCAGAAUGCUACGGUGAAUACGUUCCCGGGCCUUGUACACACCGCCCGUCACACCAUGGGAGUGGGUUGCAAAAGAAGUAGGUAGCUUAACCUUCGGGAGGGCGCUUACCACUUUGUGAUUCAUGACUGGGGUGAAGUCGUAACAAGGUAACCGUAGGGGAACCUGCGGUUGGAUCACCUCCUUACCUUAAAGAA
rnacentral:rRNA from 1 species